GAAGGGGAGGAGAGGGGAUGAUGAUUACUGUUACCGAGUGUUUUGGGUUAUUGGGGCAUGAAGAGGUAAAAUAUUAAGGCUGGGAGGGGUCAAAAUUACAAUUACUGAGAGUGUUUGGGGUUAUUGUUGUGUGAAGAGGUAAAAUAUUAAGGCUGGGAGGGGUCAAAAUUACAAUUACUGAGAGUGUUUGGGGUUAUUGUUGUGUGAAGAGGUAAAAUAUUAAGGCUAAAAGGGGUCAAAACUACUGUUACUGAUUGUGUGACGGCAGUGGCGUAGCUAUUUAUGAAGGUGGCACGCCUGAGUUUGGGGGGCAUAUUUGCGGAUGUCUACGCAUAAACGCGGAUAUCUACGUAUAUAAAUAGAUAGACUGAUAGACACAUACAAAGAUAGAGACAGAUAGAUAGAUAGAUGUAUGAGCAUUAGAAUGAAAUCAGUAAAUUUAUACUUGUAGAGAAGUAUAAUUUUUUAAAGAUUUACACCAUUAUUUAUUGCUUUGGAAAAUAUUACAAAUAAUUUCAUAUUAUUGAAAUAUGAUUUAAGUUAAGUUACUAGUCUAUGAAACAAAAGAUAGAGAUCAAUGCUUGAUAUCAACAUUUCAGUAAGUGACUACAUACACGGCUGACAUUAAACAAUAUAAAUAUGAACUGUUUCCUCUACUGUAAGAAAAAAAUCAUCAUCUACUCGGUCAAACCUUGAAUAUGGGAACAAUUGUUUAUUUAUGAGGGCAAUGCAUGGAAAUAUUAAUAGUGCCAAUUCCAGUUUUGCAUCAAUCGCAGGCGGACUACUGAACGACGGGGGACUUUCAAAGCGUUGGGAGGGCAGCGCUGUGGUUAUCGAUUCCUUUACCUGGAGUCAAGUCGUUAGCAUCAGACAAAAGAACCAAUACGAGAACAGCGACUCCCUCUCUACAUGAAAUAAGCUUAGCAAGUCCCCCACUAUGCACUCUACGUGAUAUUAAGUUUAUUUACAACCCAAAAAAUAAAGGUUAGUCAAGCCAAUCACUGUUAAGUAAAUAAGUGAAACAGAUGCAUAAAAAAAGAGUGAAAAUAAAAGUUGCAAGACAGAGAACGUGAGAGAAGACAUUUAGCAGCUAUUUAUACAUACACACACACACACACACACACACACGCACACAUACACACACACGCACACAUACACACACACACAUACAUACACACUUACCUGGCCGCCCUAUUCAUUGAUUACUUACACCUGAGUCACCUGGGCGAGCUGGAACAUACCUAGAGGAAAAAAACUCCCACACACGCCCACAGGAGAGAGAGAGAGAGAGAGAGAGAGAGAGAGAGAGAGAGAGAGAGAGAGAGAGACGUAUACGGGUCACUGAUUUUUUUCUUUUUCUUUUUGCGGUAAUACGAUUUUCUCUAAACCCAAAAAUAAAUUAAAUAUAAACUACAGUAAAAAAAAAAUAAGCAUACAUAAAUCAAGUGAUAUAAACAAACCAUCAUCUACGUAUUGAUAAAGUUCGAUUACUAUUAUUAUUAUUAUUAUUAUUAUUAUUAUUAUUAUUAUUAUUAUUAUUAUUAUUAUUAUUAUUAUUAUUAUUACUACUACUACUACUAUUAGUGUCGUCAGAGUUAAAUGAAGCGAAAUGGUAAACAAAACAAAACCAUUAACUAGAAAAACGAACUUCAUAACAUAACAUUACCACCACCAUCACCACCACCAUCGCCACCGUCACCAUCACCACCACCAUCACCACCACCACCAUCACCAUCACCACCGUCACCAUCGCCACCGUCACCAUCGCCACCGUCACCAUCACCACCACCAUCACCACCACCACCAUCACCAUCACCACCGUCACCAUCGCCACCGCCGACAAUAACAACAACACAGAAAUAGCGUGAAUCGAAGGACUUAUAAGCUGGUCCGUCUGGAGGGUGACAGGCUCGCGUGACUGAGGCGGAUACUCAAGACGAUAAAUGUAGAAGGCAAGAAAAAAAGAAACUCCGGAAUGUUAACACGAGUCACAGCAAUAAUAACAAUAAUGACAAUAGUGAUAAUAAUAAUAAUGGUGAUAAAUGUACAGUCUUGGUAUUCUUGUUUUCUUAGUAUUAUAUUUUGAGUCGUUCGAGUUUGCUAAAUAUUGGACGCUAAAUAAAUAAAUAAAAAUAACAAUAAUAGUAAUGAUAAACGUCCAUAUUAAAUUUUUAGUAUUCUUGUUUUCUUCUUAUUUUUUGAGUCGUUUGAGUUUGCUAAAUAUUGGACGCUAAAUAAAUAAAUAAAAAUAACAAUAAUAGUAAUGAUAAACGUCCAUAUUCUUACCAUUCUUGUUUUCUUACUAUUAUUUUUUGUGUCGUUCAAGUUUGAAAAGAAAAAAAAAUGAUGAAACAGAAACGGAAAAAUCUAUGGCAAAUCAUUUUUUUUUCGAGUAAGCAAUAAUAGUAAUAAUAGUAAUAGUAGUAAACGUCCACAGUCUUAUCCAUCUUGUGUUUUUCAUAUUAUUUUUAAGUAGCAUUCGAGGUUACAACAAAAAUAUGGACCAAACAAAAAACAAAGGAAACUCUACGGUCAAGACGCUUAAUAUUUCGAAUACACAAAAAAGAAUAACAUGAGAAUAACCCUCCAUUAUCAUAAUAUUCCUGUUUCAAUACAAUUUUUGACGGACGUAUUCGAACUUACAACAAAAAAAAUGAAAACUUAACCAAAAAUAAGAAAAACUCGGCUACAGUGAUGCGCAUUUCCCGAUUAAAGAGAGAGAGAAAAAAAGAAGAGUCAGUCCAUGAACGGUUAAAGAAAAAAAAAAGGGAGAGCAAGGACAGGAGACGAGAUUUUAUUUUUUUUAUUUUCCCUCUUUUUUUUUGUCUCGAGGUGAAACAUAAAACGGAAAUAUGAGAAACGAGGAGGAAAAGGUCAACGGUUUUGUCUCUUGAAGGAAGGAACGGACGGAGGAAAGAAGAAUGAAAAGGAGGGAAGGAAGGGAGGUAUGCAAGGGAAGAAUGGAGGUAAGAGGGAGGGAAAGGAGGGAAGGAAGGGAGGUACGUAAGGGAAUAAAGGAGAAAAGAGGACUGAAAGGGAAGAGGGAAAAAAAGAGUAAUGAGAAAUGACAGACUAUGUAAAAAAAAACCGGUAGGGAUGAAGAAUAUAAGGAGGAAACGAGAAAAAAUGAAGAAAGCGAAAGAGGAAGGAAAAAAAAGGAAAGAGGAAGAAAGGGAGUAGCGAGGAACGGUAAGGAGGCAAGAUGAACUUAAUAGGACUCUUAGGUGAAGGAUACUGGCCAUCAGACGCAGACCAUGAGCCGGAAUACGAAGGAAUCAAGCAUAAAAGGAAAACAAAGGAGGGGCGGAGGAGAGGAGGAAAGGAGGCGGCAGGGAAAAAGACGUAGGACUCUAGGGUGAAGGAUACCGGCCAUUACCUGAAGAAUAUGAACCUGAAACCGAAGAAGGGAGAGAAAGGAAGGUUUGGAAAGAGAGGAAGGACGCAAGGAAACAAGAAAAGGAGAACCGUAAAAGGAAGGAGGUAAGACGAAAGAUAUAGGACUCUAGGGUGAAGGAUACCGACCAUUACCUGAAGAAUAAAAACUUGCAACCGAAGAAGAAAGGAAAAGAAGACAUGGAGAAGGAAAAGAAAGAACGUAUAGAAAGAAGAAAGAAACGUAGUGAGGAAAGGAGGUAAAAUGAAGGAUAUAUGACUCUAGGGUGAAGGAUACCGACCAUUACCUGAAGAAUAAAAACUUGCAACCGAAGAAGAGAGGAAAAGAAGGCAUGGAGAAGGAAAAGAAAGAACGUAUAGAAAGAAGAAAGAAACGUAGUGAGGAAAGGAUGUAAAAUGAAGGAUAUAGGACUCUAGGGUGAAGGAUACCGGCCAUUACCUGAAGAAUAAAAACUUGCAACCGAAGAAGGGAGGAAAAGAAGGCAUGGAGAAGGAAAAGAAAGAACGUAUAGAAAGAAGAAAGAAACGUAGGGAGGAAAGGAGAGAUGAUGAAGGAUAUAGGACUCUAGAGUGAAGGAUACCGGCCAUUACCUGAAGAAUAUAAACCUGAGACCGAAGAAGGGGAGAAAAGGAAGGCUUGGAAACGGA